AUCAAGACACUGUCUGAAGUUUCCCCCUCAUGAUUUAAAAAAAAGAAAUUUAUCUGACAGAGGUUCUGCUGAGGAGGCCAGCUCUCACAUCAGAGGGUGAUGGCAGUUUGUGCUGGAUGAGGAUAAGACAAUGCUGUCCUAGGGCUGGCCAUCUGAUAAAGCUUCCCAGAAAGUGCAGUAAUGGACCCCUGGGAGGCUUUCUGCUCUCCUGUCUGCGGGUUCCUGAGCUGCCAAAAGUACCUUGAUGUUUUCUGAAAGCAGAGCCAAUGACCACACUCCAGGGACUGAGUUCUCAAAUAUUUACCUUUGGAGUCCAACCCUUCUGACCAUCCAGAGGCAAGCACAAUAUUCCUGAGAAAAUCUCAAAUAGAUGGUGAGACAACAUUGUUUUUUCUGCCAAGAAAAAAAAUAAAAGUCUUGUUCUUUGA
rnacentral:lncRNA from 1 species